CCUACAUAAAUUUAGUUAACAGCUAAAAGCUUUAACCGGCAAGCUUCCACCUA
rnacentral:tRNA from 1 species